GCAUUUUUAGCUGCAGUUCAGGUGCGACAUCUCUUAUUUCGAGCUCUGUUCUUCUCUUGGAAUCGUAAUUCCUCAUCGCUUUGCGGACCAUCGAAAACCACCAGAACAACGUUUUGAGGAUGGCGCAGAACGUGGAAGAUUUGAGAAGAGUUGUUGAAGGCUUGACCGUGAUGCAGAACCACCAGAAUGGGAGAGUGCCACUCAGUGUCCCUCCUAAUGGCUACAUGGCACCAGGUGGAAACGUAGCAUAUUCAACAGUGCCCAGCAACGUCAACCCAGGAACGCAGCCUGGGAUGCAAGCAAAGUCGAAUAUUAAGAUUACAAUGACUCAGCAAGAGUUGGAGGAUUUACUCGCAGUAAUCAUCCGGACUUUGGGAUCUGAAAUUACGGAAAGGAGACCUCAGAACUCGUCAGAUACUAGGGACGUGAAUGGAGCGACGGCAGUUGGUCCACAGAGAGAAGAGGCUGAACCGGGAGAACCGAGCGCUCCGCCUAUUCCCAGAGAGCGGGAAGAACAAUGCUCUGAGGAUUCUGUCAUGGAUAUAUUGUGUUGUGAUGUAUGUGGCCUUCAGUAUAACAAGGAUGAGAGAAAACCAAUCAUUUUGCCUGACUGUGGUCACACAUUCUGCAGGCGCUGUGUCAUCACAGCAAGCAGGAACAGGAACCUAAGGUGCCCAACUUGCCGAAGAGAAUAUAGAGUUCCUGCUGAAAGCCUGCCACCAAAUUAUACAGUCCUCUCUCUUGUGGCUGAGGUAAAUUCAGCAGCUGCAGUUAAUGGAACUCCUUCAGCUAUUACUGAUCCAUCUAGAAUGCACUAUGAUGAACAAUUGGAACAGGCUCUGAAACUCUCCCUCAAGGAGUACGAAGAAGAACAGAGCCUCCGCCUUGCACAAGAGCUGCAGGAGGAAGAAAAUGCUAAGGCAAUGACGAAGGGAAAGAAAGACAAAGCUUCAAAAUUGCAUGCAUGGCAGACUGAAGACUGGGAUGACGAAGAUCAACCAUUUCCACGCCGGCAGAAUUCUAGAAGAGAGGAAGGAGGGCAAGAUGCCAUGAACGCCUACUAUUCUGCACGUCGUCUCAUGGAGGAAGAAGAGGAGGAACUCGACCCAGGGGUGCCAUACAGACAACAGCAUGAGAGUGUCCAGGAAGACGAGGGUUCUGGCUCAGAUGAAGAUGCACAUUCAUGGGGUGAAUCUUAUUCUCUCAGAGGAUACAUUGAUGAUGUGGGAACAGAACUUCACACACCCGCAGAAAGCACAAAUAAUGUGCAAAGGGAAUCUCACUCACAUAGAGAAAGCAUGACUGAUGUUGGAAGAGAAUCAUAUACAUCUGAAGACAGCACAUACAGUGUUCAAAGGAGCUCAUGCACACCUGGGGAAAGCAUGCACGAAGAUCAAAGGGAGCCUCAAAUGCCCAGAGAAAGUAUGGACAAUAAUCAAAGGGCACCCUAUACACGUGGAGAAAACAUACAUGAGCGAAGGGAAUGUUACACACCCAGGGAAAGUAUGGAAAAUGUUCGAAGGGACUCCUUUACACCUGGGGAAAACAUGAGUAAUGCUGGAAGGGCAUCUUGGGAAGGCAUAAAUGAUGUUGAAAGAGAAUCCCUUACUCAAGGAGAAAGCAUGUACCACAUUCAAGCAGGAUCUCAUGCACCUGGAGAGACCAGGAACAACAUGGGAAGGGAAGCUCACAGCCCUAAAGACAGCAUUGACAGUCCUAGGGGUGCUUCAUGUGCAAAACAAUCUUGCAAGAAACUGAAGGAAGGGUCAAUGGAGCUGCCCCCAAUGGAGAAAGAUCUUGAGCACUACAUGAACACACAUUUUUAUGGGAAGGAUGGACGAAAAGGCAAGUCUUCCAGUUUGGACGAGGAAACCAGAAGCAUGUUAGCUCGAGCUCUAGAAAGGGAACAGCAGGAGAGAGAAGAUACUCAUAAGAGGAAGACACGCAGACUAUUGAAGGAACAGGAACAGCUAGAGUUGGCAUAUGCUCUGUCACUAUCAAUGCAGGACACGGGUAAAAAUGAUGAUUCAGACAAAGAAGAGAAGGAGGACGAGAAUGAGGAAUAGAGGUUGCCCUGAGUUCACCGCUGGAUCAUUUGCUGCUGGGAUGGGAUGUGCACAAGCAAAAAUACAGAAAAAGUCAGAAAGCCGACGUUAUUUGACCAGGAAACACACCACGGUCUAACACAACAUCGCCAUAUCUCCCGAAGAACGAACGGGUGUAGUU